GCCAUUUCUUGGGCCUCUCCCAUGGCAUACGGAGGUUCCCAGGCUAGGUUCCCAGGCUAGGGGUCAAAUCGGAGCUGUAGCUGCCAGCCUACACCACAGGUACAGCAAUGCGGGAUCCGAGCUGCCCUGCAACCUACACCACAGCUCACGGCAACGCAGGAUCCUUAACCCACUGAGCAAGGCCAGGGAUCAAACCCACAACCUCCUGGUUGGAUUCGUUAACCACUGCACCACAACGGGAACUCCUGUUUUGUUUUUUCAUUUUGACUUGGAUUCCACCCUGGAAGUGUCCUUUGCUGUGGAUCCUCAUGGCUCUGGAGCCCAUGGCAGCCACCUGGGACGUCCUUGCUGGGUCCAGAGAGGGUGUCAUGUUGGUGGCUGUGGAAACAUGGCUCCUCAGGCCUGCUGACUGGCCGGUCACCUCUUCCUUUCUGGAGGUCACCAAGCACUACCCACUGCUUUUUUAAAAAACUGUUCCUAUAUAUGAAUUCCAUUUGUCUUAUUCCAGUCAUACACGUGCUACAGAAUUUUCAGAGUUGGCUGCGGUGACUCCACUUCUUUCUUUUUUUGUUUUUUGGCCAUGGUGCGCAGCACCUGAUGUGGGAAUCUCAGUUCCCAGACCAGGGAUUGAACCGUGUGGUGAAAGCGCAGGGUCCCAACCAGGAGGCCACCAGGGAACUCCCUGUACCCACUUUUCAUUUUUGGCUGCGCCCAUGGCAUGCAGAAGUUCCCAGGCCAGAAUUGAAGCCAGACCACAGCAAUAACUCAUGCCGCAGCAGUGACAAUGCCAGAUCCUUAACUCGCUGAGCCAGCAGGGAACUCCUAUUACCUACUUCUUUCUUUCUCUCUUUCUUUCUCCCUUCUCUUCCCUUAUCUUCUCUUUUUCAGCUGCCCCAGAAGCAUAUGGAAGUUCCUGAGCCAGGGAUCAAAUCUGAGCCAGAGCUGUGACCUACACUGCAGCGGCAGCAAUGCCGGAUCCUUAACCCACUGUGCCAGGCCAGGGAUUGAACUGGAGCCUCUGCAGUGACAAGUCAGAUCAUUAACCCACUGUGCCAUAGCAGGAACUCCUAUCCACCCCUUAAUGUAAGUCUUUUAUAUAAAAUUACCCCUAACAUCCAGUGAAGAUAGAAGGAACAGUGAGAUCAGGAGAUUUGUUGGUGAGAAUGACAGGUAAAAGAUGGAAGUGCUAUUUUCAAAUAAAAGGCUUUGGUUGGAGUUCCGUCGUGGUGCAGUGGAUACGAAUCCGACUAAGAACCAUGAAGUUGCGGGUUCGAUCCCUGGCCUCUCUCAGUGGGUUAAGGAUCUGGUGUUGCCAUGAGCUGUGGUGUAGGUCGCAGACACGGCUCAGAUCCCGUGUUGCUGUGGCUGUGGUGUAGGCCAGCAGCUGUAGCUCCCAUUCGACCCCUCGCCUGGGAACCUCCAUAUGCCACGGGUACGGCCCUAAAAAGACAAAGACCCAACAAACAAGUCAAGGAUUAAUUAGAAGAAUGUAAAAUGUGUAUGGCUUUUAAAGAUAAAACAUGAGUCUUAAAGGCAUUUUCUACAUGAGAGACCCUCUUCCAGCCAGAGCAGCAGAUUUUCUUGAUAGAUGAGGCUAGAGAGGCAGGCAGGAGACUCUUCUUCUGAAGAGCCUUCUGGAAAACGUUGAGAAGCCCUGAGAGAAUGCAUUUGAAACUCAGCUAGAAACAAAUGCUGUCCGCGUGUAUCUCCUGUCCCCUGACCCUGAGAGCCGGCCAUCACACUGGCCUCAGGGCUGGUGCAAAGGGCAUGGGAAUGAGAAAGACGCAGUUCCUGCUCUCACAAGGGACACUCACUUACAGACAAGUGAGAAAACCCCGACUCUCCUGCGUGUACAGUGGAGGCACCGCCACAGCCCAGGCCCGAGUCCAAACCAGGAGCUGCCCUCCACUGCUCCCCCCUUCCUUCCUUCCCCCGGCCCCGCACCACGGCCACCUCUGGAAACCAUGCCGUGCCUCCCAGUCUCACUGGCACAGCUUGCGUCCGGGCCCUCGCGCCUUCCCUCCUGCCUGCUCCAACGGGGCCCGUCGUGCUGCUGCUUCGAAGCGUUCUCUGCUCACCUGCUCAACAAAUUUUUAUCAAAUGCCCAUUACGUGUGUAUCUACGGUAAGCGUUCACUCGCCAGCUCUGUAUGGGUCUCAGUGACCUGACCCUUCAUUAAGCCUACCUCUCACGACGCCUCCCUCCCAAGGUCUCCCUCUCUAACACUUUUUUGGUUUUCUAAGAAGCCACACUGUUGCCUCUUGCAGACGCUGGUCCCUCUUUCUGGAAUAUUCUUCCUGACCGUAUGGGUCAGGCAACUAUCUGAAACAACGGAAUUCAUGCGCUGUAGAUCCUCUGUGACGCUUAACCGCAUCUACGUCGUCCCACUGAUCAAGCCACAGCCCUCCCUUCUAGACACACAGAACGUCCACCCUUGAAUACACUUCCAUUGCUGUCUUAUUAUUUGCAUGUAUCUAUGGCUCCUCAACUGUGUGCUCCUUGAGGACUGGGCUCUUGCCUUACUCAUUCAGACUUCUCAGGAUCCAGCAAACAGAUUCUUAAAUAGGAAGGAGGAGUGCCCAUCGUGCUGCAGUGGCUAAUGAAUCUGACCAGGAACCAUGAGGUUGUGGGUUCCAUCCCUGGCUUUGCUCAGCGGGUUAAGGAUCUGGUGUUGCUGUGAGCUGUGGUGUAGGUUGCAGAUGCGGCUCAGAUCUUGUAUUGCUGUGGCUGUGGUGUAGACCGGCAGCAAAAGCUCCGAUGAGACCCCUAGCCUGGGAACCUCCAUAUGCUGUGGGUAUGGCCCUAAAAAGCAAAAAAUAAUAAAUAAAUAAAUAAAUAAAUAAUUUAAACAGGAAGGAGAGUGAGACAGACACAGAAGGGGACCAAUGGGCUUGGCCUGAAAUCAGGAUCUUGCUAGACUGGAAUAAAGGGAAAAGGGCCACUGUGGAAAGAGCCAAGACACAGGAGUAGGCAAAUUCACAGCAGCUUCAGGAGAUGGCUCAGCACGGCUGGUUUAGGGUGUGUCACAGGAAGACUAGAGUCUCACUGUGAAAGACUCUGAUUCACAUGAGAAAAUGAGCGCCCAGGACUUGGGCAUGAGGCAGGCUCUAUGCAGACUGUGACUCAAGUGUCUCCAUUCUUAAUCCUGGGGUAACAUCUUUCACUUCCGGAGCCCUCUCUACAGUGGUUAAGCUCAAGGUCUCAGAGUCAGACGGAUGGAUGCCCCCAUCCUGGCUUUUCCACUGACUGGCCUUUGGGCAAAUCCCUUCAACUCUUGAGCCUCAGUUUACAGAACCUGCUUUCCCUCAUUAAGACAAUAAUAGCGCCUGAGAGUUCCCGUUGUGGCGCAGCAGACGUGAACCUGACUGGGAACCAUGAGGUGGCAGGUUCGAUCCCUGGCCUCACUCAGUGGGUUAAGGAUCUG
rnacentral:lncRNA from 1 species